rnacentral:rRNA from 1 species
UAUGGGAGUGAGAAUGUUGGCAUGAGUAGCGAGAUGUGGGUGAGAAUCCCACAGGCCGUAAACCCAAGGUUUCCAGGGGAAGGUUCGUCCGCCCUGGGUUAGUCGGGACCUAAGCUGAGGCCGAAAGGCGUAGGUGAUGGACAACAGGUUGAUAUUCCUGUACUACCGAUAACCGUUUGAGAGAAGGGAUGACACAGUAGGAUAAGCUAAGCACACUGUUGGUUAUGUGUGCCCAAGCAUUGAGGCAGUCAAAGUAGGCAAAUCCGCUUUGAUAAUGCUGGGAUGUGAUGGGGAGCGAAAUUUAGUAGCGAAGUAGCUGAUUUCACACUGUCAAGAAAAGUCUCUAUCGAGGUUAAAGGUACCCGUACCGCAAACCGACACAGGUGGGUGAGGAGAGUAUCCUAAGGCCAGCGAGAGAACUGUUGUUAAGGAACUCGGCAAAAUGACCCCGUAACUUAGGGAUAAGGGGUGCCACCAUCAGGUGGCCGCAGAGAAUAGGCCCAAGCGACUGUUUACCAAAAACAUAGGUUUCUGCUAAGUCGCAAGAUGAUGUAUAGGAGCUGACGCCUGCCCGGUGCUGGAAGGUUAAGGGGAUCUGUUAGAGCAAUCGAAGCAGUGAACUUAAGCCCCAGUAAACGGCGGCCGUAACUAUAACGGUCCUAAGGUAGCGAAAUUCCUUGUCGGGUAAGUUCCGACCCGCACGAAAGGCGUAACGAUUUGGGCACUGUCUCAACAACAGACUCGGUGAAAUUGUAAUUCCGGUGAAGAUGCCGGAUACCUGCGACAGGACGGAAAGACCCCAUGGAGCUUUACUGUAGCUUGACAUUGGGUCUUGGUACUACAUGUACAGGAUAGGUGGGAGGCUUUGAAACCAGGACGCCAGUUUUGGCGGAGCCAUCCUUGGGAUACCACCCUUGUAGUACUGGGACUCUAACCAUAGGCCAUGAAUCUGGUCUUGGGACACUGUCAGGUGGGCAGUUUGACUGGGGCGGUCGCCUCCCAAAAGGUAACGGAGGCGCUCAAAGGUUCUCUCAGUACGGUCGGAAAUCGUACGUAGAGUGUAAAGGCAAAAGAGAGCUUGAUUGCAAGACAUACAGGUCGAGCAAGGAUGAAAAUCGGACUUAGUGAUCCGGUGGUUCUGCGUGGAAGGGCCAUCGCUCAACGGAUAAAAGCUACCCUGGGGAUAACAGGCUUAUCUCCCCCAAGAGUCCACAUCGACGGGGAGGUUUGGCACCUCGAUGUCGGCUCAUCACAUCCUGGGGCUGUAGUAGGUCCCAAGGGUUGGGCUGUUCGCCCAUUAAAGUGGUACGCGAGCUGGGUUCAGAACGUCGUGAGACAGUUCGGUCCCUAUCCGUCGCAGGCGUAGGAAAUUUGAGAAGACCUGUCCUUAGUACGAGAGGACCGGGAUGGACGUACCUCUGGUGUACCAGUUGUCCUGCCAAGGGCAUGGCUGGGUAGCUAUGUACGGAAUGGAUAAGCGCUGAAAGCAUCUAAGCGCGAAGCCAACUUCAAGAUAAGAUUUCCCACCGCAAGGGUAAGACCCCAGAAAGACUAUCUGGUUGAUAGGUCGAAGGUGUAAGUGCAGCAAUGUAUUUAGCUUAUCGAUACUAAUAGGUCGAGGACUUGACCA